UACGUAGGUGACAAGCGUUGUCCGGAUUUACUGGGCGUAAAGAGCGCGCAGGCGGUCGAUCAAGUCGAGUGUGAAAGCCCCCCGGCUCAACUGGGGAGGGUCAUUCGAUACUGAUCGACUCGAAGGCAGGAGAGGGUAGUGGAAUUCCCGGUGUAGUGGUGAAAUGCGUAGAUAUCGGGAGGAACACCAGUGGCGAAGGCGACUACCUGGCCUGUUCUUGACGCUGAGGCGCGAAAGCUGAGGGGAGCAAACGGGG
rnacentral:rRNA from 1 species